rnacentral:snoRNA from 1 species
GAGAAGAGCCAUUUUGCUCUGAAGGAUAGCAAAAACACAAAUGUCUCUGCAAUUAUCCGCGCCUUUUGUGAUUUCCUUUUUGCAAAUGGCCUUGAACAAAUUGCUACAUA